CCCUGCUGCUAAAAACAGCUCGGGCACCUCCUCUGAACCUGGGCCUGAAACAAUGUCUUCCACCGAAAAAACCAUAAAGGACACUUGAUCAACCCAAUCCUUGGAAUUAUUUCCAGGAAACACUUGCAGAAACCAUUUGGAGCACGCUUUCCCUGGCAGUGCACAGGGGGACGGCCAGGAGAUGAGCACAUCUUUGAAUUACAAGUCUUUUUCCAAAGAGCAGCAGACCAUGGAUAACUUGGAGAAACAACUCAUCUGUCCGAUCUGUUUAGAGAUGUUCACGAAGCCCGUGGUUAUUCUCCCCUGUCAGCAUAACCUGUGUAGGAAAUGUGCCAGUGAUAUUUUCCAGGCCUCUAACCCAUAUUUGCCCACAAGAGGAGGUACCACCGUGGCAUCAGGGGGUCGAUUUCGCUGCCCAUCCUGUAGACAUGAAGUGGUUCUGGACAGACAUGGGAUAUAUGGCCUUCAGAGGAACCUGCUGGUGGAAAAUAUCAUUGACAUCUACAAGCAAGAGUCCACCAGACCAGAAAAGAAGUCCGACCAGCCCAUGUGUGAGGAGCAUGAGGAGGAACGCAUCAACAUCUACUGUCUGAACUGUGAGGUGCCUACCUGCUCUCUGUGCAAGGUCUUCGGGGCACACAAGGAUUGCCAGGUGGCACCCCUAACUCACGUGUUCCAGAGACAGAAGUCUGAGCUCAGUGACGGCAUCGCUGUCCUCGUGGGAAGCAAUGACCGAGUCCAGGGAGUGAUCAGUCAGCUGGAGGACACCUGUAAAACUAUUGAGGAAUGCUGCAGAAAACAGAAACAGGAACUCUGUGAAAAGUUUGAUUACCUGUAUGGCAUCCUGGAGGAGAGGAAAAAUGAAAUGACCCAAGUCAUUACACGAACCCAAGAGGAGAAACUGGAACAUGUCCGUGCUUUGAUCAAAAAGUAUUCUGAUCAUUUGGAAAAUGUGUCAAAGUUGGUUGAAUCAGGAAUCCAGUUCAUGGAUGAGCCAGAAAUGGCAGUAUUUCUGCAGAAUGCCAAAACCCUGUUACAAAAAAUUUCUGAAGCAUCGAAGGCAUUUCAGAUGGAGAAAAUAGAACAUGGUUAUGAGAACAUGAACCACUUCACAGUCAACCUCAAUAGAGAAGAAAAAAUCAUCCGCGAAAUUGAUUUUUACAGAGAAGAUGAAGAUGAAGAAGAAGAAGGAGAAGGAGGAGAAGGAGGAGAAGGAGGGGAAGGAGAAGGGGAAGAAGCAGAAGUGGAAGAGGUAGAAAAUGUUCGAACAGAGUCAUCAGGAGAAGAGGAAAGUCCAGAGAAAGCCUUGGAGCCCUCUCAGCUGGCCUCAGAGCUCCAGGCUACCACAGGGGCACUUCCAGUUUUCUCCCCAGAGCCACCUCCAGCCCUGCCACCCACUGCAGAUGUCCCAGUGACACAGGGGGAGGUUGUGCCGACUGGCUCUCAGCAGACCACAGAGUCUGAAACUCCAGUCCCUGCAGCAACGGACCCUGCGGAUCCCUUGUUUUACCCUAGUUGGUAUAAAGGCCAAACCCGGAAAGCCACCACCAACCCACCUUCCACCCCAGGGAGCGAAAGUCUGGGACACAUAGGGCCUCCUGGUUCUGAGGAUUCGAAUGUGCAGAAGGCAGAAGUGGCAGAAGCUGCCGCCAGUGAGAGGGCAGCAGUGAGUGGCUCCAGAUAAUGGAUGGAGGGCAGUGAGAAGAAGUGCGUGAACUUUCUGUCAUGAAGGGCAAUUUGCAGCAACUAAUCAUCUUACAAUAGUUGGUCAUCGACCAAGCAUCCUGCAUAGAAGGAAGACCCUAAAGCAAGUUUCAACCUGAGCCUGCAGCAACUUGAGUUCCAUACUGAUGAGUAAAGGCACCUCAAGGAGAUGGGAAAGAUGGAACCCAGGGCACAGGUGCAGGCGCUGGUCAAGAAAGAAGCAAGAGAACAUCAAUUCCUCUGAGAGGUGAAGAUGUUGCACAAAACCAACCAAACUCAACACCCACUUUGCUCUAUUUUCCCCUUCAGACUGGUCUCCAAACAUCUGUCCCUUUCUUGGAUCCCUGGAGACUCACAGUCCACAGCAUCCUUUCUGCUCCCCAGCCCAGGAUUCAGUGCUUUCAGCUGGUCAAGGUCAUGAGCUUCAAUGGGCAGAGUUCUUGGCCACCUCCUGGGAAUAAGAUUAGAGGGUCUGGGCCCACUGGUGCAGGUUUCUCACACCUGACAUGUGUGUGUUUUGAAAGCCUUAUCAGAGCUGACUUUGAUGGGCAGCAGGAGCCCUCCAGGUAACAGGCUGCCAGUACUGUCAGCCCAAAUUGGGUGAUGGGGGUUGGGGGUCAAAUCACCAACUGUCAAGGUGUUAGAAGAGAUCUCAGACUGCUUCAUGGAUGCAAAGGAUGAAAAUCAGCAACACUGAAUAAGCAUAUGCAGUUCUUAGAUGAAUCAUUGGGUAAUAGUGCAGUACUCUGGACUAUUCCCACAAAAUUCUGCUUAUUCUUUUUUGAGCAAACCCAAAUUUAGUGUGCUUAAUGUGUAUGCACACAUACACAUGACACACAGAACUGCAAAGACAUCACACACACCUACAAUACACAAACACAGGCAGAUACUGAGUAUGUACAUGAAGACACACAAACGUACACAUACACACACACUGCAAAGCUUGUCCUCAGCCAGAGAGUUUGGAGAAAUAACUAAAAGAAUAAAUGAAUGAGUGAAUGAAAUUAAUGUUUUACCUGUAAUCACUUAAUAGAGGAUAGAACACAGUAACCACAGUAACUCUCAACCCCGCCGGUUUAAAAGAGUUUCUUACUGAGAUCAGAGUUUAAGUUCUUUUUUAAAAAAUUCAAAAGGGUUCCUCCCCAAAGCUUUUGCUGUUACUAGAAUUUAUUAUUUUAAAGGAUCCAAUUUAUUGGGGACGUUUUCCUUUAAAGAGAGGAAAUCUCUCUAAAGAGAAUGGCAGUGUGUUUACUAGUAAAUCAUGCUGAAGCAGCAGAAUUGGGUUCAUGGAAAGGGCACUGGAUUGGGAGCCAACUGAACUGGAUUCCAUUAAUGUCUCUUUACUAUUGUUAGAUGCAACUGUGUGCAAAUUACCUCUUCUCUGAGAGUCUCAGUUACCUCAUUUAUAACUGGGUGGUGAGGUAGGAGAGUGUUUAUUUAAAUAUAGUGCACUGACCAUCCACACUCAUCUGUAUUCUGUCCUAAGACUUCCUAUAAUAGGGAAAGCCACAGAUUGGUUCUCAACUGGGUGGGAAUUUUGCCCUACUCCCCAAGGAUAUUUGUGAAUGUCUGAAGACACCUUUGGUUGUCAUGACUGGCAUCUGGUGGGUAGAAACCAGGGAUGCUGCUAACCAUCCUUCCACACAUAGGACAGGUCUCACAACAAAGAAUUAUGCAGCCCAAGAUGUCAAAAGUGCCAGUUAAGAAAUCCUGCUCUUGACCCAACAGUUGAUCUUGUACUUUUAAACCCUCUCCUUAUUGGCAGACUGACAGAUAUCUAUCUACCUACUGUUAUGGACUAAAAAGUAAGCUUCCAAAAUUCGUAUGUUGAAGUCCUAACCUUCAGUACCUCAGACUGCCUUUGGAGAUAGGGCCCUAAAGAAGAGGCAAUUAACUUAAAAGGGGAUCAUUAGGGUGGGUCCUAAUCCAAUAGGCCUGCUGCAUUUAUAAGAAGAGGAAGGGACACCAAGCACACACAUACUCAGAAGAAAGGCCAUAAGGGAACACAGUGAGAAGAUGACCAGAUGUUGGCAAAAUAGAGAGGCCUCAGGAAAAACCAAACCUGCCAACAUCAUGAUCUUGGACUUGCAGCCUCCAGAACUGUAAGAAAAUAAAUUCCUGUUGUUUAAGCCACAUGGUCCCUGGUAUUUUGUUAUGACAGCCCUAGAAAACCAAUAUACUCACUUUGCAAGUAACAAGAGGAUUCUUUUCCAAAGCAGUGGAAUACCCACAGAGAAAAGACCUCCAACCUGACAGCUGUGGGUUGCCAGGACUAUUGCCUACUUCCCCACAUCACAUUAAAGGGAACUGCCAAACUGCAAGCAUUGGCCA